UCUGAGAAGGUUAGGUCAGCCAUCUGUUGGAAUAGGUGGUUUAAGCGUGUAGGUGUGCCCCUAGGCAAAUCCGGGGGGCUUAGCUGAGGCGUGACGACGAGGUGCUACGGCACUGAAGUGAUUGAUACCAAGCUUCCAGGAAAAGCCACUAAGCUUCAGUCUAGAAUUGACCGUACCGCAAACCGACACAGGUGGGCAGGAUGAAAAUUCUAAGGCGCUUGAGAGAACUCAGGAGAAGGAACUCGGCAAAUUAACACCGUAACUUCGGGAGAAGGUGUGCCCCGGUAGGUUGUAGAGCUUCGCGCUCGAAGGCCGAUGGGGUUGCAGUGAAAUGGUGGCUGCGACUGUUUAAUAAAAACACAGCUCUCUGCAAACACGAAAGUGGACGUAUAGGGAGUGACGCCUGCCCGGUGCCGGAAGGUUAAUUGAUGGGGUGCGAGCUCUUGAUCGAAGCCCCGGUAAACGGCGGCCGUAACAAUAACGGUCCUAAGGUAGCGAAAUUCCUUGUCGGGUAAGUUCCGACCUGCACGAAUGGCGUAACGAUGGCCACACUGUCUCCUCCUGAGACUCAGCGAAGUUGAAAUGUUUGUGAAGAUGCAAUCUCCCCGCGGCAAGACGGAAAGACCCCAUGAACCUUUACUGUAGCUUUGCAUUGGACUUUGAACCGGUCUGUGUAGGAUAGGUGGGAGACUAUGAAACCGGGACGCUAGUCUCGGUGGAGUCAACCUUGAAAUACCACCCUGGUUUGUUUGAGGUUCUAACCUUGAUCCGUGAAUCCGGAUCGGGGACCGUGCAUGGUGGGCAGUUUGACUGGGGCGGUCUCCUCCCAAAAGGUAACGGAGGAGUACGAAGGUACGCUUAGGGCGGUCGGACAUCGCCCAUAAAGUGCAAUGGCAAAAGCGUGCUUGACUGCGAGACCCACAAGUCGAGCAGGUGCGAAAGCAGGUCAUAGUGAUCCGGUGGUUCUGUAUGGAAGGGCCAUCGCUCAACGGAUAAAAGGUACUCUGGGGAUAACAGGCUUAUACCGCCCAAGAGUUCAUAUCGACGGCGGUGUUUGGCACCUCGAUGUCGGCUCAUCUCAUCCUGGGGCUGUAGCCGGUCCCAAGGGUAUGGCUGUUCGCCAUUUAAAGAGGUACGUGAGCUGGGUUUAAGACGUCGUGAGACAGUUUGGUCCCUAUCUGCCGUGGGCGCUGGAAAUUUGAAGGGGGCUGCUCCUAGUACGAGAGGACCGGAGUGGACGAACCUCUGGUGUACCGGUUAUGACGCCAGUCGUAUCGCCGGGUAGCUAUGUUCGGAAGAGAUAAACGCUGAAAGCAUCUAAGCGUGAAACUCGCCUUAAGAUAAGAUUUCCCGGAGUCUUGAACUCCUUAAAGGGUCGUCGAAGACCACGACGUUGAUAGGUCAGGUGUGGAAG
rnacentral:rRNA from 1 species